rnacentral:rRNA from 1 species
GAUGAACGCUGGCGGCGUGCCUAAUACAUGCAAGUCGAGCGAACAGACGAGGAGCUUGCUCCUCUGAUGUUAGCGGCGGACGGGUGAGUAACACGUGGAUAACCUACCUAUAAGACUGGGAUAACUUCGGGAAACCGGAGCUAAUACCGGAUAACAUGUUGAACCGCAUGGUUCAACAGUGAAAGACGGUCUUGCUGUCACUUAUAGAUGGAUCCGCGCCGCAUUAGCUAGUUGGUAAGGUAACGGCUUACCAAGGCAACGAUGCGUAGCCGACCUGAGAGGGUGAUCGGCCACCCUGGAACUGGGACACGGUCCAGACUCCUACGGGAGGCAGCAGUAGGGAAUCUUCCGCAAUGGGCGAAAGCCUGACGGAGCAACGCCGCGUGAGUGAAGAAGGUCUUCGGAUCGUAAAACUCUGUUAUUAGGGAAGAACAAAUGUGUAAGUAACUAUGCACGUCUUGACGGUACCUAAUCAGAAAGCCACGGCUAACUACGUG